CAACCCUCAGGUCCCCCUUUUCGGAGGGGGAGACACCCUGGUGUUGGGGGACGGCAUCCUGGCCCGCUGUCUCACAGUGUGCCACGCCGCCCCCGAAAUGAAUUGGCGGCCUCGUCGCGUGCCACCCCUGCGUAGUAGCACAACCUCGCAACGGGAGCCCGACGCGGCCACUGCCGUAAAACGCCCAACUUUUACCG
rnacentral:misc_RNA from 1 species